rnacentral:rRNA from 1 species
GACGAACGCUGGCGGCGUGCUUAACACAUGCAAGUCGAACGAUGAUCCCGGAGCUUGCUCCGGCGGAUUAGUGGCGAACGGGUGAGUAACACGUGAGUAACCUGCCCUUGACUCUGGGAUAACUGCAGGAAACUGUAGCUAAUACCGGAUACGACCCUCGGCGGCAUCGCCAGGGGGUGGAAAGAAUUUCGGUCAAGGAUGGACUCGCGGCCUAUCAGCUAGUUGGUGAGGUAACGGCUCACCAAGGCGACGACGGGUAGCCGGCCUGAGAGGGUGACCGGCCACACUGGGACUGAGACACGGCCCAGACUCCUACGGGAGGCAGCAGUGGGGAAUAUUGCACAAUGGGCGCAAGCCUGAUGCAGUAACGCCGCGUGAGGGAUGACGGCCUUCGGGUUGUAAACCCCUUUUAGUAGGGAAGAAGCGAAAGUGACGGUACCUGCAGAAAAAGCACCGGCUAACUACGUGCCAGCAGCCGCAGUAA